rnacentral:rRNA from 1 species
CAGCAGCAGCCACGGUAAUACGUAGGUCCCGAGCGUUGUCCGGAUUUAUUGGGCGUAAAGCGGGCGCAGACGGUUACUUAAGCAGGAUGUGAAAUCCCCGGGCUCAACCUGGGAACUGCGUUCUGAACUGGGUGACUAGAGUGUGUCAGAGGGAGGUAGAAUUCCACGUGUAGCAGUGAAAUGCGUAGAGAUGUGGAGGAAUACCGAUGGCGAAGGCAGCCUCCUGGGAUAACACUGACGUUCAUGCCCGAAAGCGUGGGUAGCAAACAGGAUUAGAUACCCGCGUAGUCCCUGUCUCUUAUAC